CAAACCUCAAGCGCCUGCUUGGUGUUGGGGCUCCCGCGGCGGCCGCGGGCUCCUAAAACCAGUGGCGAGCUCGCCGUGAACCCGAGCGCAGUAGUACCUCUCGCCCGGGACGAUCGGAGGGUUCGGCCGUUAAACCCCGCCGUCCGGCGGACUUUCGGUGGU
rnacentral:misc_RNA from 1 species